AGUAACGCGUGGGUAACCUGCCUCAUACAGGGGGAUAACAGUUAGAAAUGGCUGCUAAUACCGCAUAAGCAUACAGCACCGCAUGGUGCAGUGUGAAAAACUCCGGUGGUAUGAGAUGGACCCGCGUCUGAUUAGGUAGUUGGUGGGGUAACGGCCUACCAAGCCGACNNNNNNNN
rnacentral:ncRNA from 1 species